GCCUAACACAUGCAAGUCGAACGGAGUAAUGACUUCGGUUAUUACUAGUGGCGAACGGGUGAGUAACACGUGAAUAAUCUGCCCUGUACGAUGGGAUAACAGCUGGAAACGGCUGCUAAUACCGUAUAUGACCACGCCGAGGCAUCUCGGAGGGGUGAAAGCGCUUAAGCGGUACAGGAUGAGUUCGCGUCCAAUUAGCUAGUUGGUGAGGUAACGGCCCACCAAGGCGACGAUUGGUAGCCGACCUGAGAGGGUGAUCGGCCACACUGGAACUGAGACACGGUCCAGACUCCUACGGGAGGCAGCAGUGGGGAAUAUUGGGCAAUGGAGGAAACUCUUACCCAGCAAUGCCGCGUGAGUGAUGAAGGUCCUUCGGAUUGUAGAGCUCUGUUUUAGGGGACGAAUGUCACGAUCAGUAAUAUGGGUUGUGAAUGACGGUACCCUAAGAGGAAGCCCCGGCUAACUACGUGCCAGCAGCAGC
rnacentral:rRNA from 1 species